CUGGCUUAGUAGGAUUCAGAAUCAUGGAGAAGACUUGACUUCAUGGCAGUGCAAAAUGCCAUCAUUGACGUCCUCCAUAAGGAGAAAAAAGUAAUUGCAAAAUAAACUGGAUGCUCACAGAGCUCCAUAUCAAAGUACGUUAACCGAGUUUCAAGAGGAAGGGGAAAAAGUGGCCGGAAAAGGUGCACAAGCGACAGGGACGACCGCAGCCUUGAGACGAUUGUCAAGCAACGGCGAUUCACAAAUCUGGGGAACCUUCAUAUGGAGUGGACGGAGGCUGGCGUCAGUAUAUCCGGAUCUGCCACAUAGACAUGUCUGCAUAGCAUGGGAUACAGCUGGAAAAUUCCACUGAACCAAAAACAUCAGACCCAUCUGUGUUGUGCUAAGGAGAAAAGGUCCCGGAAUCUAGAGGAAAACUGAAGAAGCGCCAAAGUCAAGCUGGUUGCAGAUGCUCCAAAGGCCAAUAUCUAAAAAACCUGUGUGUCAAUAACACCUGAACGAUUCCAGAGGCUGAUUAGGGACCUCCGUGCCCUGCCGCCUUGAUGCUGCCAUUAAAGCAAAAGGAGGCCCCAACAAAGUACUUGUUGGGCACAUGAAAUAUUCAAAUUUUGUGAAAUACUGGAUUUAUUUAUUGUCUUUUAUGCCACAAUCAUCAAAAUUGAAACAAAUAAAGGCUUGAAAUAUCUCACUUUGUGUAUCGUGAACUAAUAUAGCACACAAGUUUAUCUUUUUGAAAGUAAUUAUUGAAAUAAAUGGACUUUCCCUCAA